rnacentral:rRNA from 1 species
AUGGCGACCGGCGCACGGGUGAGUAACACGUAUCCAACCUGCCGAUGACUCGGGGAUAGCCUUUCGAAAGAAAGAUUAAUACCCGAUGGCAUGGUUCUUCCGCAUGGUAGAACUAUUAAAGAAUUUCGGUCAUCGAUGGGGAUGCGUUCCAUUAGCUUGUUGGCGGGGUAACGGCCCACCAAGGCAUCGAUGGAUAGGGGUUCUGAGAGGAAGGUCCCCCACAUUGGAACUGAGACACGGUCCAAACUCCUACGGAAGGCAGCAG